GUUCCUCUUUUCUCGUUCCUGCCAGUAACCUUUCACGUGAUCGUACCAGGAGCCCCACGGCACUGCGCAGCACACUCAAGCAGCAGGUCAGAUCAAAUGCUGUCUCCACGUGAACUUGUUCUCCAACUCUUGUUGUCCCGCUCUAAGGAAAGGACUGCGGACCGGCGUGGGUGCUCGUCUACAGGCCUCCGCAUCACCGUUGUGAAGAAGCAGGUCAACUAUCUCCUGGGUCCAU